UACGUAGGGUGCGAGCGUUGUCCGGAUUUAUUGGGCGUAAAGAGCUCGUAGGCGGUUUGUCGCGUCGGCCGUGAAAUCUCCACGCUUAACGUGGAGCGUGCGGUCGAUACGGGCAGACCUGAGUUCGGUAGGGGAGACUGGAAUUCCUGGUGUAGCGGUGAAAUGCGCAGAUAUCAGGAGGAACACCGGUGGCGAAGGCGGGUCUCUGGGCCGAUACUGACGCUGAGGAGCGAAAGCGUGGGGAGCGAACAGG
rnacentral:rRNA from 1 species